rnacentral:rRNA from 1 species
GACAGAGGUCCCGAGCGUUAGGCGGAAUCACUGGGCUUAAAGCGUGUGUAGGCGGAUUUGUAAGUACCUUGUGAAAUCCCACGGCUCAACCAUGGAACUGCUCGGUAUACUGGUUGUCUUGAGCCACUUAGGGGCAGUCGGAACAGACGGUGGAGCGGUGAAAUGCGUAGAUAUCGUCUGGAACGCCAAAGGUGAAAACAGACUGCUGGGAGUGUGCUGACGCUGAGACACGAAGCCAGGGGAGCAAAACGGGG